GCUUCGGCUUUACUGUGAUGGAAAUCAUUUUAAUCGCAAUGGCUUGAACCGGGCAAAAGUCGUAACAAGGUACCUGUAGGUGAACCUGCAGGUGGAUCAUCGCUGACCCAUAAUGGUG
rnacentral:rRNA from 1 species